UCGGACGUGGUGUAUGGUGCACGCCCGCCUUCCUUGGGGACUUUCUGACUUGUAGUUAACGGGAAACCUGGGUUCGACUCCCAGCGUUCGAA